UACGUAGGGUGCAAGCGUUAAUCGGAAUUACUGGGCGUAAAGCGUGCGCAGGCGGCUCGGAAAGAAAGAUGUGAAAUCCCAGAGCUUAACUUUGGAACUGCAUUUUUAACUACCGGGCUAGAGUGUGUCAGAGGGAGGUGGAAUUCCGCGUGUAGCAGUGAAAUGCGUAGAUAUGCGGAGGAACACCGAUGGCGAAGGCAGCCUCCUGGGAUAACACUGACGCUCAUGCACGAAAGCGUGGGGAGCAAACAGG
rnacentral:rRNA from 1 species